ensembl:ncRNA lncRNA:CR46328 long non-coding RNA:CR46328
CUCAGUUCUGGGAUCGUACCGAAAAAAUCGAGCUGGCUUUUUGCGAGCGUGGGUGGGUAGUAUUCAUCUACCAUUCACCACCCACCAUUUCCCCGAUUGAGAGGAGAGAAAGGCACAUAAAAAUGCGAAUGAAGAAGCGAAUGAAGUGAGCUCUUGAAUGGCAACAUUGAAUACGCAUACGCUCGAGGAGUUUGCAUGUUAAUUAAAUAGAAAGCACCGACGGGCCCGAUGCAUUGCACUCGAAAGUCGAGUCAACUCGAGUCGAGGACUUUGGCUUCGUCCUGGCGAAACGAGGCCAUUCAUAUCAAUUUGUUUGGCCUACGCAUUGAAUUGCGGUUUGUGGAUAAGCCUUCGCAGAUGGGAAUUCCUAGUAGUACGCCGCCACUGCUACGGCCACUGCCUUCCUCAACCGGUCGGUUGUGAUCUCUUUGGCAGCGUCAAGUGCUACUCAAAAUUUACAGAAUUCAUUUAUGCAAAUGAAGUGCCUUUUAUGACGCCGAGAGAUGAGAUGAGAUGCGACCAAGGACGCUGGUGCUGAUGAUGAUGCGAAAUGCCGGGCAAAGCCAGGAUGAAGGAUAAUGGAUUGGAAUAGAGCCAGUUGCAAGGACGAGACAAGACAGUGCGAGUAAUGAACGAAAAUUGAGCAAAUUAUUCAGUUCCUUUGGCACAACAAUUAAACAAUUUACGUACAUUUCCAAGUGCUCCAGCAUUUUGCCAACUAAUUACGCGAACUGCUGGCUUAACUCGAACCAGGAUGGCACAGGAUGCGCUGUCUUUGUAGUUCGCUUUCCACCAAAUGAGCUCCUAUGUGCGUACAUCCUCCUGAUAGGUAAAUAAUUGGGAAAGUUUAGAAUAAACAAGGAUAUAAAUAU